AAAUGCAUACAUAAACACAUGUA
rnacentral:miRNA from 1 species